rnacentral:rRNA from 1 species
UGGGGAAUAUUGGACAAUGGGCGCAAGCCUGAUCCAGCCAUGCCGCGUGUGUGAAGAAGGCCUUUUGGUUGUAAAGCACUUUAAGCGAGGAGGAGGCUACUUGGAUUAAUACUCUAGGAUAGUGGACGUUACUCGCAGAAUAAGCACCGGCUAACUCUGUGCCAGCAGCCGCGGUAAUACAGAGGGUGCGAGCGUUAAUCGGAUUUACUGGGCGUAAAGCGUGCGUAGGCGGCUUCUUAAGUCGGAUGUGAAAUCCCUGAGCUUAACUUAGGAAUUGCAUUCGAUACUGGGGAGCUAGAGUAUGGGAGAGGAUGGUAGAAUUCCAGGUGUAGCGGUGAAAUGCGUAGAGAUCUGGAGGAAUACCGAUGGCGAAGGCAGCCAUCUGGCCUAAUACUGACGCUGAGGUACGAAAGCAUGGGGAGCAAACAGG